AGUGAACGCUGGCGGUAGGCCUAACACAUGCAAGUCGAACGGCAGCACAGUAAGAGCUUGCUCUUACGGGUGGCGAGUGGCGGACGGGUGAGGAAUACAUCGUAAUCUACUUUUUCGUGGGGGAUAACGUAGGGAAACUUAAGAUAAUACCGCAUACGCCCUACGGGUGAAAGCAGGGGAUCUUCGGACCUUGCGCGAUUGAAUGAGCCGAUGUCGGAUUAGCUAGUUGGCGGGGUAAAGGCCCACCAAGGCGACGAUACGUAGCUGGUCUGAGAGGAUGAUCAGCCACACGAGAACUGAGACAGGGUCCAGGCUCCUGCGGGAGGCAGCAGUGGGGAAUAUUGGACAAUGGGCGCAAGCCUGAUCCAGCCAGACCGCGUGUGUGAAGAAGGCCUUCGGGUUGUAAAGCCCGUUUGUUGGUAGAGAAAAGCAGCAGGUUAAUACGCCGCUGUUCUGACGGUACCCAAUGAAGAAGCACCGGCUAACUUCGUG
rnacentral:rRNA from 1 species